GACGAACGCUGGCGGCGUGCUUAACACAUGCAAGUCGAACGGAAAGGCCCUGCUUUUGUGGGGUGCUCGAGUGGCGAACGGGUGAGUAACACGUGAGUAACCUGCCCUUGACUUUGGGAUAACUUCAGGAAACUGGGGCUAAUACCGGAUAGGAGCUCCUGCUGCAUGGUGGGGGUUGGAAAGUUUCGGCGGUUGGGGAUGGACUCGCGGCUUAUCAGCUUGUUGGUGGGGUAGUGGCUUACCAAGGCUUUGACGGGUAGCCGGCCUGAGAGGGUGACCGGCCACAUGGGGACGGGGAUACGGCCCAGACUCCUACGGGAGGCAGAAGUGGGGAAUAUUGCACAAUGGGCGGAGGCCGGAGGCAGCAACGCCGCGGGCGGGAUGACGGCCUUCGGGUUGUAAACCGCUUUCGCCUGUGACGAAGCGUGAGUGACGGUAAUGGGUAAAGAAGCACCGGCUAACUACGUG
rnacentral:rRNA from 1 species